ACAGCAGUAGCCGCGGUAAUACGAAGGGUGCAAGCGUUAAUCGGAAUUACUGGGCGUAAAGCGUGCGUAGGCGGUGGGUUAAGUCUGCUGUGAAAUCCCCGGGCUCAACCUGGGAAUGGCAGUGGAUACUGGCUCGCUAGAGUGUGUCAGAGGAUGGUGGAAUUCCCGGUGUAGCGGUGAAAUGCGUAGAGAUCGGGAGGAACAUCAGUGGCGAAGGCGGCCAUCUGGGACAACACUGACGCUGAGGCACGAAAGCGUGGGGAGCAAACAGGAUUAGAGACCCCCGUAGUCCCUGUCUCUUAUAC
rnacentral:rRNA from 1 species